rnacentral:rRNA from 1 species
AAAGUCCGUAGUCAUGUAUGUUGUUUUUUAAUUCCUCGCUGGGCGUGUAAAGCACUAGCUUAAAGGGUGUGAGUGUCCAAACCGGGGAUGACAUUGGGAUAGUGUGGGGGGUAAUGAAUCGGGGCACGAGAGGUGAAAUUUGAUGACUGUUCCGGGUCGUCCGGAGGCGAAGGCGUUACCCAAGCACGAAUCUGCCGAUCAAGGACGUAGGCUGGAGGAUCGAACACGAUUAGAUACCGUAGUAGUUCCAGCAGUAAACGAUGUAGACGAGCCGGUUGUGGUGCGGAUUGCUUUUCCUGCGAGUUGGGGGGAGUGUGAUUCUGCAUUGCGGUGGUGAAUAGAAAUAGAGAGUAGUACUUCGGGGAGAGUACACGCGCAAGCGAUAAAUUUAAAGGAAAUUGACGGAAGAACACCACAAGGAGUGGAGUGUGCGGCUUAAUUUGACUCAACGCGGGACAGCUUACCAGUGCAGAAGGUCGUAAGAGCGUGAACGCGAUAGACUGGAGAGUGGUGCAUGGCCGUUAUAGAUGGGUGUAUUGAUAUUGCUAUUAAGUUACGUAAUCCAUAAAACGUGCGUUUUCUGUCUAGUAGAUUUAUUUUUGGGUUGGUUAGGCGGGAGAGACGGUUACCCCUCGGUAAAGGAAGGAGCACGCAAGAACAGGUCAGUGAUGCCCUCAGACGUACUGGGCUGCACGCGCACUACAUUUGUUGGUGUAAUAUUAUUGUAUUAUAUAGAGAGAAAGCCAAUAUGGAGGAACUGUGUACUGAAAGGUACUCACGAACGAGGAAUUGCUAGUAAUCGCGAGUUCAGGAGAGCGCGAAGAAUGUGUCCCUGUUCUUUGUACACACCGCCCGUCGUUAUCGAAGAUGGGGCUGCGUAUGAACGAGUUUUUAGUGAGUGAAUGCGCGGUUCUAGAUCUGAUACAAGUCGUAACAAGGCAGCUGUAGGAGAACCUGCAGCUGGAUCAAGAGAGGUUUAAGUUCUUAUUAGUAAUGAGUUUUAUUAGUUAGUAUUAUAUUGUAUUAUGGUAUAUAUUAUAUUUAGACUCACACAUGGGAUCACUAGGCUCCGCGAGCGAGGAAGGACGAAACGUAUUCGAGUAGCAAAGAGAGUUGCUAUGUGUCCGAAUUUGGGGAGACCCAGACGACCCCUCGGAGUUAAGCAUAUGAGUAGAGGGAGGAGAAGAAACUAACAAGGAUUCCCGUAGUAGUGGCGAACGAACAGGGAAGAAGCCCGAGUAUAUUCUGCGUCUAGGCGUGGAGAUGACGGGGGUGUUUGGCGUUGCGAAGAUACGAGGUGUGUGAAAGGCCUGUAGCGACGUUGGGCAGCCUGCGGUAUGGUAUUAAUUGUACCGUUUAGAGCGGAGUACCCGUGUUUGGUAGUACACGGGGAAUCGAUGGAAUCUUCCACCGAAGGCAAAAUAUAUGCGGAGACCGAUAGU